rnacentral:rRNA from 1 species
UACGAAGGGGGCUAGCGUUAUUCGGAAUUACUGGGCGUAAAGGGCGUGUAGGCGGCUUUUUAAGUCAGACGUGAAAUCCCUGGGCUCAACCUAGGAACUGCGUUUGAUACUGGAAAGCUAGAAUCCAAGAGGGGAUGGCGGAAUUCUCAGUGUAGAGGUGAAAUUCGUAGAUAUUGAGAGGAACACCGGUGGCGAAGGCGGCCAUCUGGAUUGGUAUUGACGCUGAGGCGCGAAAGCGUGGGGAGCAAACAGG